rnacentral:rRNA from 1 species
UACGUAGGCGGUCUAUUAAGUCAGAUGUGAAAGCCCCCGGGCUUAACCUGGGAACUGCAUUUGAUACUGGUAGACUAGAGUAUGGUAGAGGGGGGUAGAAUUCCUAGUGUAGCGGUGAAAUGCGUAGAUAUUAGGAGGAAUACCAGUGGCGAAGGCGGCCCCCUGGACCAAUACUGACGCUGAGGUACGAAAGCGUGGGUAGCGAACA